rnacentral:rRNA from 1 species
GAGUUUGAUCCUGGCUCAGGACGAACGCUGGCGGCGCGCUUAACACAUGCAAGCCGAGCGAGAACCAGGCCUUCGGGCCUGGGGACAGCGGCGAACGGGUGGAGUAACACGUGGGUAAUCAACCCUCGAUACUGGGAUAGCCCGGGGAACCCGGAUUAAUACCGGAUGGCCCUUUGGAUCCUUGGAUCUGACGGAAAGGUAGCUUCGGCCUCCGAUCGAGGACGAGCCCGCGGCGGAUUAGCUUGUUGGUGAGGUAACGGCUCACCAAGGCGACGAUCCGUAGCUGGUCUGAGAGGACGAUCAGCCACACUGGGACUGAGACACGGCCCAGACUCCUACGGGAGGCAGCAGUGGGGAAUCUUGCGCUAAUGCGGGGAAACCGUGACGCAGCGACGCCGCGUGAGGGAAGAAGGCCUUCGGGUUGUAACCGUAC